CUCUGGACAUGGACAUGGACCUCGGAGUGCCGUCGUCCACGCCGUCCGCGUGGCUGCUGCUCUUUCCUCCGGCGGGGCCGGACCCGGACGGCCUGUCCUUGUCGUCGCCGCCGUCCUGCUGCUGCUGAUGCUCCUUGGUCUCCUCCAGGUACAUCUCCUCCACCAUCGGCUUCCACAGCCUCACCCUCGCGUUGAUGAACCAGUUCGACACCUAAUAAGUGUUGCACAAAAGAAAAAUUCUCACGGAUCAAAACAAGCCGCGGUAACAGUAAAAAUCAACAACACAUGUUGCGACUGGAUCAAAAAGAAGGAUGGGCGAGAUAUUUUGUACCUGGCUCCUGGUGAGGCCGGUCUGCUUGGCGAGCAUGAUCUUGUCCGAAUCCUUUGGGUAUCUGCAUGAUGAGAGGGCGAUCCGAUCAACCAAUGGGAGUGCGACACGAGGGCGCCGAGUACGUACGUACCCGCCGGUUUUGGGCGUGCACGUACGUACGAAGGGAGGUGCCAUGCGUGGUGCCAUGCGUGCAUGCUUGCAUGAAAAAUGCAUCAUGAUGCAUGAUGCAUUGUGUGUGUCGUAUUCCGUACUACCACGACUCUAACUCUCUCAUGCAAGUACGGCAUCAUCAUAUCUUUUCAUUUCUCACUCUCUCUCUUUACCACGUCAGUGACAAAUGCAUGAUUAGUUCAAUUAUCGAUGGAGUACACCUAGUUAGCUCGGUUGCACGCACGUUAAUUACGCAUGAUGCAAAGCCUUAUAAUCCCAAAACAAUUCAAGCAAUGUAAUGCAUGCAUGGCAACCCAAAAAUGGCGGUAAGGUUAUAAUACUAGUACUCCUACGUACGUAGUACGAGGGCAUGGUGUAGUACAACAACUUACGGGUGGAGGAAGUGCUCGAAGAGCCAUGCACGAAGGAUGGAGACGGAGCGCUCGGGGAGUCCUCGCUGAGGGCGCCACGCGCUGCUCUGCAUCAUGCCCAGCUGCUGCAGCGCGCGCUGCUGCCGGAGCUGGUGGUCGAUGUACCGGAGCCGGGACC
rnacentral:lncRNA from 1 species